UACGGGAGGGUGCAAGCGUUAUCCGGAUUCACUGGGUUUAAAGGGUGCGUAGGAGGGCAGGUAAGUCAGUGGUGAAAUCCUAGAGCUUAACUCUAGACUGCCGUUGAUACUAUCUGUCUUGAAUAUUGUGGAGGUGAGCGGAAUAUGUCAUGUAGCGGUGAAAUGCUUAGAUAUGACAUAGAACACCAAAUUGCGAAGGCAGCUCGCUACACAUAUAUUGACUCUGAGGCACGAAAGCGUGGGGAUC
rnacentral:rRNA from 1 species